UUGGCCAUUUCCAGAUUAUCUUCAAUAACUCAGUCUGGCAUUAUCCAUUCAAAUAAAUUAUUAGGAUAAAAUAAGUGGGUGCUAAGUGGGCAGUGAGAUGCUAGCAGAUUGUUACUUGGGGUACAAAGUGUUAGCUGCCCUCCAAGAAAUACUUGUUGAAUAAAUAAAUGAACAAAUAAAUACAUUUAGACAUGAUUUAGAAAUGUUGUGAUAUAGUGCUUAGGAGUAAUUAUAAUCCUGGCCUCCCAAGAGUCCCCACUCCUAGAAGACACAGAAAGGCAAAAUGCAGAGGAAGCAGACAUGAGAAAUAAGAUCUGGGCUCAGCUUGAUCCUUCUCUACGUUAUGGCAUGAGCUGCACACAAAGAGUUUCUUCUAGGUUAAGUCCACCUGUACUAGCAAAAUUCAUAUAUUGGGUGGGACAAUUCUAUAUUGUAUGGGAGUAUCUCACAUGAUGCAAGACAUUUAGCAACUCUGCCCGGUAAAUGUCAGUACUACCCCAAGUAAUUUGUGCCAAUCCCAAAUCUCCUCUAAACAUAAACAUUUCUGAAUGUCCUCUAGGAGCAGUAUACACCUCCUCAUUGAGAAGCACUCAUUUAUUAUGAUGACUGGUUUAGCUAUGGAUGGAAAUCAUUACAUGUCCUUUCAUCUUCACUGCAAGAAUUUAUAAUUUAGUUGUGAAGUAGCCUUAGUAACAACUCUGGUCCUUUGUUGAAGAACGACAAGUCAGGCAAAAAUCGUGGUAUUGUGGAAAGGCCUGCCCUUUCUCCAAUGUGAGGAUAGAAACCCUAGCAAGAACUUGGAUCCCCUUCCUCCUCCCUUUUCCUGGAGAGAUAAUGACCACAUCCAAAAUGGAGAGCUCAGCUCAUGGAGAGGCUGCAGGGGAAUUGACAUAGAAAUGCCAUGAAAUUGGUUUGAUAUUGACUUUGAAAUCUGCUUAACCUGUGUCCUAAAAACCUAGGUUGAUAUAGCAUUACUGGCCAAUUGUAAGCUCACCUCUUCCUGAUGUUGAAGAUCCUUUGUUCACCUUACCUCAGGUUUUAGUUCCAAGCUACAUGGUCCCCACAUCUGAGUGGGACCUGAGAUGUUAGAAAUGAAUGUUCCUUCCCGAGACCUAAUGUUUCUUCCACGUGGAGGGAGCUUUGCUUGUGAAACACCCCUGGAUAGUUCUAUAGGUGAGGUUUGCAGCAGACAAAUUGUCCCCAUGAAAGCUGGAUAAUU
rnacentral:lncRNA from 1 species